UACGUAGGGUGCGAGCGUUGUCCGGAAUUAUUGGGCGUAAAGAGCUUGUAGGCGGUUUGUCGCGUCUGCUGUGAAAAUCCGGGGCUCAACCCCGGACUUGCAGUGGGUACGGGCAGACUAGAGUGUGGUAGGGGAGACUGGAAUUCCUGGUGUAGCGGUGAAAUGCGCAGAUAUCAGGAGGAACACCGAUGGCGAAGGCAGGUCUCUGGGCCACUACUGACGCUGAGAAGCGAAAGCAUGGGGGGAGCGAACAGGAUUAGAUACCCUGGUAGUCCAUGCCGUAAACGUUGGGCGCUAGGUGUGGGACUCAUUCCACGAGUUCCGUGCCGCAGCUAACGCAUUAAGCGCCCCGCCUGGGGAGUACGGCCGCAAGGCUAAAAC
rnacentral:rRNA from 1 species